CAUCGGAACAUGUCCAUUCGUGGGGGAUAGCCCGGCGAAAGCCGGAUUAAUACCGCAUACGCCCUGAGGGGGAAAGCGGGGACUUCGCAAGAGGCCUCGCGCGAUUGGGUUGGCCGAUGUCCGAUUAGCUAGUUGGUGAGGUAAAGGCUCACCAAGGCGAUGAUCGGUAGCUGGUCUGAGAGGAUGAUCAGCCACACUAGGACUGAGACACGGCCCAG
rnacentral:rRNA from 1 species